UGAAGAGUUUGAUCAUGGCUCAGAUUGAACGCUGGCGGCAGGCCUAACACAUGCAAGUCGAACGGUAACAGGAAGCAGCUUGCUGCUUCGCUGACGAGUGGCGGACGGGUGAGUAAUGUCUGGGAAACUGCCUGAUGGAGGGGGAUAACUACUGGAAACGGUGGCUAAUACCGCAUAACGUCGCAAGACCAAAGAGGGGGACCUUCGGGCCUCUUGCCAUCAGAUGUGCCCAGAUGGGAUUAGCUUGUUGGUGAGGUAACGGCUCACCAAGGCGACGAUCCCUAGCUGGUCUGAGAGGAUGACCAGCCACACUGGAACUGAGACACGGUCCAGACUCCUACGGGAGGCAGCAGUGGGGAAUAUUGCACAAUGGGCGCAAGCCUGAUGCAGCCAUGCCGCGUGUAUGAAGAAGGCCUUCGGGUUGUAAAGUACUUUCAGCGGGGAGGAAGGUGUUGUGGUUAAUAACCGCAGCAAUUGACG
rnacentral:rRNA from 1 species